GUCGUGUGGGUGAGUCGUCGCCGUCGCCGUUUCUUUCCAUCGUCGUUGUCGUUGAAGGCGCGUGCGUGCAACGCUUUGUUGGAAGUGCUUGUUGCUGUGAGAGUGUUUUCCACAAUUAGAAGUAACGGUGCGAAGGUGAAACUGGAAAGUCAGCGGAGCGUCCAUUCCAAGUGCAUCUUCAAAUUGAGUAGUGUUUGCAAUUUGUUUUUGUUAUUCAAGUGUUUUUUACCUGUGCCCCCAAACCAACUACUACAGCAACAACAACAGCAACAACAAAGUUGAAGAGCGAAUUAAACAAAUAUUGUAAAAAUCAAAAGCCUAGGCAAAGUUCACAGCCGGUUUAGUCAUACGCGAAUUUCUGAGAAUUCUACAAGUUGAUUUGAGAAUCGCCAACUGCUGGCUAAAAAAAAAUCCAUCUAACAGUCAAGUGUGCGCGCCUGAGUGUGUGUAUGCGUGCGUGUGUGUGUGCGCAUGCAUGUUCUAUGUGUGUAUAACAGCUGUUGCGCUGCACUUCCAGUCUAAAUUGCGUACUUAUUAGGUAUUUGCUCUGCGCGAAUAGCAGCGAUAAGAUAGAAGCCAAGACAUUUCGCACAGUGUAAAACUCUUGAACUCGCGCUGACGUGUGUGUGUGUGCGUGUGUGUGUGUUUAUCUUAUCGGUAGACCAUUGAUUGGAGUAGCUUUUCGCCUUUGCCUAAGCAAUGCCGGGUGAAGUCAUUUGCGCAGCGACUAAGCGGAAAAGACUAUGGACAAGGGGCCUCGACUAGAUAGGAUAUCUAACAAGCCAUAAAACAUCCACCCCCUCCCAAUCCUACCAACCCAAUAUACUUAGUGCGAAAAAACCAGCCACGCAAUCUUUGGCUAAAUUUGGACACAAACCAAAUACCAAACAAGGCAUUGCGAACAUAAAUCAACUGCAACAGGAGCAACGGCAGCAGCAGUAGCAGCAGAAGUCACCAAGAUGGACAUAGAAUCCGAUUCGGACACCUGGGAGGAUUUUUUUGGCAGCACCACAGAGCUGGCCCCCUCGCUGCUGGGACUUUAUGACACGCUGACAAACAGCUUGGCCGUCGUCGGUGGUGCCACAACCAAGGCUGACGUGCAUGCAACUGCCGCUGGCAACCAAAGCAGCGGUGAGUCAACGCCCAAGCGCAGCAACAGCAACUGCAGCAGUAACUCGAGCAACUCGAGCAACUCGAGCAACAACAGCAGCGACAACCUAUCGGGCAGCUAUGCACUAGAUGCCGCACCACAGUCGCCGCUGGUGGUUGCCGGUCUGCGUGAUGAGGCUGAUGGCGUGCAGCUGAGUCGUCUGGUGGUGCAGCGGCGUCAGGAGCUGGGCAGCAGUCACAGCAUCGCCUCCAGUGGCAGCAACAACAACAACAACAACAACAAUUCCAGCAACAAUUCGCGCCGCGGCAACAAUAUUCGCGUGCUCUCGCCCAAUGUGCAGCGCAUCAUCGCGCACGCGGACGCAGAGCCCGUGAAUGCGGUGGACAUUGAGGCACUGCAGCAACAGCAACAGCAACAGCAGCUGCAGCAGCAGCUUCAGCGCAGUCCGACGCCUGUGCGUUAUGUAAAGGCCCCAACGGCUGCCUCUACACCGCCUAAAUUGAAACUGUCGCAUCUGCCGCUGUCCAAGAUUACGGGCAAACUGUCGACGCAAUCCGGCAGCGAUUUGGUGUCCACCUUGGAUGCAAGCAGCGAUUAUAGUGGUUCGCCUAGAAGAGCUACGCCCGUGGAUGAGGAUAAAACGCCGACGAAUAAAGCAGCGCCCGGCACACCCUUCCACUUUGAGGGCCAACCCUUUGGCCAACUCAAGCUGCGUCUGUACGACACGCAGCAGAGCAUUAAACUGAGCGAAAUGGAGCAGCUGGCGGUGACCAGCAUGCAGCUGGCCGCACCACCGCCGCCAGCUACACCGCCCCGGCACAAGGCAUUCGUUGUGGCUAGCGAGCCGCUGAGUCCCGAGCCAUUUGUGGACACUAUCAACUUUGAUCUGGUUGCACAGCACAUUGAACAGUUGACCCUAAGCGAUCUGGAUCUGGGUGAAACGCAGACAGAUGGAAGCGCACAGCAGCUGGUGGAGGCCAUCAAUAAGCCGCUGAUAGGCAAGCCGCUGGUGCGCAGCGUCUCCGCACCACGCGCCAGCUUGACGGGCUCCAGCUGCAGCUCCCCGCUGCAGACAUAUGCGCGCACCAAGCUCAAGAGUCAGAGCGGUAAGGCCAGCACGCUGGGCGGCGGCAUGCCUCUGCGGCUGCCCACCGCCGAGCAGCUGGCCGAGCUGGAGGAGGCCAACAAGCUGUCGGCGGAGAGUCUGGACACGUUGACCGACAUCAAGCCGAAGUAUCCGCCGCGUCUGAGCGAGCUGACGCGUCUUAAUAAUCGCCCAUUGUCCUCCUCCUCCAUUUGCUCCACAUCGUCCAGUUCGAGCUCUGGCUCCGAUCAGCUGCUCAAUGGCAAGCUGGCUGCCACCUCGUAUUUGGCCAGCGUCGAGAGCCUGGCCGAGAGCGAGAACGAGCUGGGCGAUCAUCAUCAUCAUCCCUCCCACACGAAUCCCAUGAGCGUGCUGGAACGCGCCUGCCUGGAGAUUGUGGACUCGGAGCGCAGCUUUGUUGAGGAUCUCGGUCAGGUUAUCAAAGGUUAUCUGCUGGACUGGAAGGAACGCGCUUGCCUGCGCCUGGACGAAUUGCAAAUACUCUUUGCCAACAUUGAAGAGAUUUACGAAUUCAAUUCGAUGCUACUGCAGCAGCUCAUCAACUCGGGCAUGGAGCCCGCCAAAAUAGCUAAAUGUUUUAUAAACCUACGUGAACGUUUUAAUGUGUAUACAACCUACUGCACAAGCUACCCGGAAGCCAUCUCGCUGCUGACCAAGCUGCUGCAGGCGAAACACACGAACUCGCUGCUGGCCUCCACGCAGAAGCUGCUGCAACAUCGCCUGCCGCUUGGCUCCUAUUUGCUGAAACCGGUGCAGCGCAUACUCAAGUACCAUCUGCUGCUGGACAGCCUGCGCAAGCACUGCGAUGUCAAGGAGGUGGCCGAGGCGUAUGCCAUAAUGCGUCAGGUAGCGCAUCACAUUGACCAGGUGAAGCGUCAGCAGGAGCAGCAGAGUCGUGUCAAGGAGCUGUCUGGCAUACUCGACGGCUGGAUGGGGCCAGAUCUGAGCGUGCUGCGCGAGCUGCGGCACGAGGGCCUGCUCAUGGAACAGCACAACAAGCCGCGUCAGGUGCUGCUCUUCGAGACGAUGCUGAUCAUCACCAAGCAGAAGGAGGACGGUCGUCUGCAGUUCAAGAGCCUCAUAACCCAAAAAAAUCUGAUGCUUAGCGAACAUUUGCCCGGCGAGCCCACCAGCUUCUAUGUCAUACCCUUCGAUGAGCCGCGCAAUCAAAUCAAGCUGACGGCCAGAAAUCGUGACCAGAAGCGCAUCUGGACGCAGCACAUUAAAGGUGUUAUGCUCGAGGAGCUGGAUAUACCCACGCGCGCCAAGGAACUUGUCUACCAGCUGGGCAACGAGGAAGUACUACCAGUGAUGCAUUCUAAAACUAAACCACCCAAACCAAACAAGAAAAGAAAACUUUAAUUAGUUUUUAAGGCGUUCCUAAGGCUAAACACCAGAGACUGAACUAAGCGCUACUAUUUUCCAUACCCAAACCCUAAAAAAAGAAAAACAAAACAAAACAAAAAUAAACUAAAACUUAAAUACAAAAUUAUAAUUUCUAGUAAAAUUUAACUGUUAACUGCUAAUCGUUAUCGCUAUCGCUAUCGUUAAUGUUAUCGUUAUCGUUAUCCCGUAAUCGUAAUCGUAUGUAUUAGUUUAAAUUUCUGGUAAUUGCGGCGCUGACGUAGUCUAAUUAAACUGAUAUAUCCGGUCGCUGCCUAAGCGCACGCCGGAUCGCAGCACCUGGAAGUGGAGCCUGAACUCCAGCAGCAACUCGACGCCCACAUAUUUGGAGAGGCGCAACGCUU
rnacentral:misc_RNA from 1 species